GUAACCUCCUUUGCUCGCCGAACCCCGUCAGGCCCGGAAGGGAGCAGCGGUAGGCGGGACAUCAACGCUCAUGGGGUAACGGGG
rnacentral:SRP_RNA from 1 species